CCCAAAAUCCCUCAACAGGAAGGGCUGAGCAUUUAACGUGCCCUUGAGACAAAGCAGGGCUUUGACUAUACCUUUCUUUCCCUUAGGACUUCAAGGAAGAAAUGUCUGGAUUCUGUCAGGGCAACAGGUGUCCAGAGAUUUUUGGGUUCCUCUGAGCCACCUUCAGCUGGGGUCUGUAAUACCAGGAACUGUUUUUGCCAAAAUUUUCAAGACAGGAGCUAAGCUUUGACAUUUGCAGAUGAAACUAAACUAGCAGGAUGUUUGGCAGUGCCCGUGGCAGCAAGGAGGCUGUACGGGGCUCGCAGCUGAGGUGCCACGCUCCGGCACUAGGGACAAAGUGGGUCCCUGGGCCAUGGCUGCACCUGGCUCUCACCAGAGACAACAGAGCUGAGGCUUUCGCUCACGUGCAGAAGGCAAAGGGAGGCUGCUGAUUAUUUAAAGGAAGUCAGGGUUUGACAUCUAUCUGUUCCCCCAUCCUGCCCUUGCAAUUCUCCUUUCCCAUUGCAAGCUGUCGGAUGGAGAUGGGAUUCGGGACCAGGCCUGGUGUGUAUGACCGGGAUACAGCUGCACCUCAGCUCCUGCAUGGACAUUCCCAGGCACUCCCUCACCACUGGCAGCAUUUCCUGGGCCAUGUGCUGGAGCAGAUGCAAGCUUCUUGCACAAGAAGGCACAGACCUGGCUGGAUUUAUACCUCUGUGAGAGCAGAGGCACUGGCUGCUGCCAAUGGCUCUCAGCGAGGAGCACUUCAGGCAAGUCCCAUCUGUGUCCCUGUCAAAUGUCAUGAUCUAGGAAUGCAGCUACUGCUCAGGCAGCUGGCCACAGCAACUGCAGAAAAGAACAGAGCACCUGGUCUGAUCCUCAUGGAGGGGAGUGGGGACCUCUGUAGAAGCUUCCAGGACAGCUGUACCCUGACACAUAACCAGCCCUGUGGCAGACAUCAAAUGCUGUUGUUCCCUAGCAGUCUGCUGAUGUUAUCGCCCCUUCUUUGAGGAGUCAGAAACAACAAGAUCCUACAAUGACAAACCACAACGUCUCUUGUGGUACAUAAAAAACCACUACCACCAAAAAACAACAAAAAAGAAACCUUCCCAAAUAAUUGCAAAAAAAGAGAGCAGUUCAUGUCCUUUGUGUUCUUUGGCUCAUGAUCUGCCAAAGGGGAUGAGGGACCAUCAUGAAAGAUAGACAUAAAGCAGCUAGAAAAUCAGAUUUGGAGAGGAGAACAGGACUGUUAGAGGGGAAUCAUUACUCUUAUACUCAAAACUCUAAAUAAGAAUAAAAUAGUAAAUAAACAUUUACUGAGCUUUCAAGCCCACAGUCCCAAGGACAAGGAAAAGCUUAUUUUACAUGAAUGUUACAUGUCACUUUGCAGGUUCUUGUCGGUGGCUGCUGUCACUAAAUGCUGUUUAUGGCACUGCCUCAUGCAAAACACCACAACAGCCAGAAACUGUUUCACCUUCACCAACUACUGGCUUGGUAGAAAUAAAGCAUUUUCAUUUUUUGCCAUGA